rnacentral:rRNA from 1 species
CCAUCCCGGCUUACCAACCCGAUGCAAACUGCGAAUACCGGAGAAUGUUAUCACGGGAGACACACGGCGGGUGCUAACGUCCGUCGUGAAGAGGGAAACAACCCAGACCGCCAGCUAAGGUCCCAAAGUCAUGGUUAAGUGGGAAACGAUGUGGGAAGGCCCAGACAGCCAGGAUGUUGGCUUAGAAGCAGCCAUCAUUUAAAGAAAGCGUAAUAGCUCACUGGUCGAGUCGGCCUGCGCGGAAGAUGUAACGGGGCUAAACCAUGCACCGAAGCUGCGGCAGCGACGCUUAUGCGUUGUUGGGUAGGGGAGCGUUCUGUAAGCCUGUGAAGGUGUGUCGUGAGGCAUGCUGGAGGUAUCAGAAGUGCGAAUGCUGACAUAAGUAACGAUAAAGCGGGUGAAAAGCCCGCUCGCCGGAAGACCAAGGGUUCCUGUCCAACGUUAAUCGGGGCAGGGUGAGUCGACCCCUAAGGCGAGGCCGAAAGGCGUAGUCGAUGGGAAACGGGUUAAUAUUCCCGUACUUGGUGUUACUGCGAAGGGGGGACGGAGAAGGCUAUGUUGGCCGGGCGACGGUUGUCCCGGUUUAAGCGUGUAGGUGUGUGUUCCAGGUAAAUCCGGUUCACUUUAACACUGAGGCGUGAUGACGAGGCACUACGGUGCUGAAGUAACAAAUGCCCUGCUUCCAGGAAAAGCCUCUAAGCAUCAGGUAACAUCAAAUCGUACCCCAAACCGACACAGGUGGUCAGGUAGAGAAUACCAAGGCGCUUGAGAGAACUCGGGUGAAGGAACUAGGCAAAAUGGUGCCGUAACUUCGGGAGAAGGCACGCUGACACGUAGGUGAAGUGAUUUACUCACGGAGCUGAAGUCAGUCGAAGAUACCAGCUGGCUGCAACUGUUUAUUAAAAACACAGCACUGUGCAAACACGAAAGUGGACGUAUACGGUGUGACGCCUGCCCGGUGCCGGAAGGUUAAUUGAUGGGGUCAGCGCAAGCGAAGCUCCUGAUCGAAGCCCCGGUAAACGGCGGCCGUAACUAUAACGGUCCUAAGGUAGCGAAAUUCCUUGUCGGGUAAGUUCCGACCUGCACGAAUGGCGUAAUGAUGGCCAGGCUGUCUCCACCCGAGACUCAGUGAAAUUGAACUCGCUGUGAAGAUGCAGUGUACCCGCGGCAAGACGGAAAGACCCCGUGAACCUUUACUAUAGCUUGACACUGAACAUUGAGCCUUGAUGUGUAGGAUAGGUGGGAGGCUUUGAAGUGUGGACGCCAGUCUGCAUGGAGCCGACCUUGAAAUACCACCCUUUAAUGUUUGAUGUUCUAACGUGGACCCGUUACCCGGGUUGCGGACAGUGUCUGGUGGGUAGUUUGACUGGGGCGGUCUCCUCCUAAAGAGUAACGGAGGAGCACGAAGGUUGGCUAAUCCUGGUCGGACAUCAGGAGGUUAGUGCAAUGGCAUAAGCCAGCUUGACUGCGAGCGUGACGGCGCGAGCAGGUGCGAAAGCAGGUCAUAGUGAUCCGGUGGUUCUGAAUGGAAGGGCCAUCGCUCAACGGAUAAAAGGUACUCCGGGGAUAACAGGCUGAUACCGCCCAAGAGUUCAUAUCGACGGCGGUGUUUGGCACCUCGAUGUCGGCUCAUCACAUCCUGGGGCUGAAGUAGGUCCCAAGGGUAUGGCUGUUCGCCAUUUAAAGUGGUACGCGAGCUGGGUUUAGAACGUCGUGAGACAGUUCGGUCCCUAUCUGCCGUGGGCGCUGGAGAACUGAGGGGGGCUGCUCCUAGUACGAGAGGACCGGAGUGGACGCAUCACUGGUGUUCGGGUUGUCAUGCCAAUGGCACUGCCCGGUAGCUAAAUGCGGAAGAGAUAAGUGCUGAAAGCAUCUAAGCACGAAACUUGCCCCGAGAUGAGUUCUCCCUGAGACUUUAGGUCUCCUGAAGGAACGUUGAAGACGACGACGUUGAUAGGCCGGGUGUGUAAGCGCAGCGAUGCGUUGAGCUAACCGGUACUAAUGAACCGUGAGGCUUAACCUUACAACGCCGAAG